GUCGAGGGGUAUAGCACUUCGGUGCUAGAGACCGGCGCACGGGUGCGUAACGCGUAUGCAAUCUACCUUUUACAGGGGGAUAGCCCAGAGAAAUUUGGAUUAAUACCCCAUAGUAUAUAUGAGUUGGCAUCAACACAUUAUUAAAGUCACAACGGUAAAAGAUGAGCAUGCGUCCCAUUAGCUAGAUGGUAAGGUAACGGCUUACCAUGGCUACGAUGGGUAGGGGUCCUGAGAGGGAGAUCCCCCACACUGGUACUGAGACACGGACCAGACUCCUACGGGAGGCAGCAGUGAGGAAUAUUGGACAAUGGGCGCAAGCCUGAUCCAGCCAUGCCGCGUGCAGGAUGACGGUCCUAUGGAUUGUAAACUGCUUUUAUACGAGAAGAAACACUGAUUCGUGAAUCAGCUUGACGGUAUCGUAAGAAUAAGGAUCGGCUAACUCCGUGCCAGCAGCCGCGGUAAUACGGAGGAUCCAAGCGUUAUCCGGAAUCAUUGGGUUUAAAGGGUCCGUAGGCGGUCUAGUAAGUCAGUGGUGAAAGCCCAUCGCUCAACGGUGGAACGGCCAUUGAUACUGCUGGACUUGAAUUAUUAGGAAGUAACUAGAAUAUGUAGUGUAGCGGUGAAAUGCUUAGAGAUUACAUGGAAUACCAAUUGCGAAGGCAGGUUACUACUAAUGGAUUGACGCUGAUGGACGAAAGCGUGGGUAGCGAACAGGAUUAGAUACCCUGGUAGUCCACGCCGUAAACGAUGGAUACUAGCUGUUGGGGGCAACUUCAGUGGCUAAGCGAAAGUGAUAAGUAUCCCACCUGGGGAGUACGAACGCAAGUUUGAAACUCAAAGGAAUUGACGGGGGCCCGCACAAGCGGUGGAGCAUGUGGUUUAAUUCGAUGAUACGCGAGGAACCUUACCAAGGCUUAAAUGCAGUUUGACCGAUUUGGAAACAGAUCUUUCGCAAGAAAAUU
rnacentral:rRNA from 1 species